rnacentral:rRNA from 1 species
GACGUAGGGCGCGAGCGUUGUCCGGAUUUAUUGGGCGUAAAGAGCUCGUAGGCGGCUUGUCGCGUCGACUGUGAAAUCCCGCGGCUCAACUGCGGGUCUGCAGUCGAUACGGGCAGGCUAGAGUUCGGUGAGGGGAGACGUGGAAUUCCUGGUGUAGCGGUGAAAUGACGCAGAUAUCAGGAGGAACGACCGAUGGCGAAGGCAGGUCUCGUGGGCCGAUACUGACGCUGAGGAGCGAAAGCGUGGGGAGCGAACAGG